AGACUUUCCUUGCUCUCAUACAAUGGUCACAAACCAGGAUUGUGAUCUCAGUAACUCUCCAAGUCAAUAAGGAGAAGCGCCAUUCAGGAAAUGCCAAUGAGAGAUUUAAUAUAAAUGUCUUUCUUUUUUUAAAUGAGCUGAUAAGGGAAUAUAUGUUAUGCCUCUCACGUAAAUGCUUUAAAUCAAUUAACUUGUUUCAUUUACAGUCGUUUCAUUCACUGCGCGACAUGAAGCACUUCAUCAGAUGUUAGAUUCAAGAUUCGACUACAGGCUUGCUGCUAAUCAUAUCGUGUUUGUAUUAACUAACAAACAGUUGUUUUUUAUAGUUUCUCACUCAUAUGCAUUUUCAUGGCAAAUAUUUGAUGAAAUCACUUUUUGUCAAUAAAAUUAUAUACACAAACCAUCA